rnacentral:rRNA from 1 species
UACGGAGGGAGCUAGCGUUGUUUCGGAAUGACUGGGCGUAAAGCGCGCGUAGGCGGAUCAUCAAGUCGGGGGUGAAAGUCCCGGGGCUCAACUCCGGAAUGGCCUUCGAGACUGGUGGUCUUGAGUUCGAGAGAGGUGAGUGGAAUUCCGAGUGUAGAGGUGAAAAUUCGUAGAUAUUCGGAGGAACACCAGUGGCGAAGGCGGCUCACUGGCUCGACACUGACGCUGAGGUGCGAAAGCGUGGGGAGCAAACAGG